rnacentral:rRNA from 1 species
GAGGUGGUGAAAGGCCAAUCAAACUGGGAGAUAGCUCGUACUCCCCGAAAUGCAUUUAGGUGCAGCGUUGGGAAGAGUGUCAUGGAGGUAGAGCUACCGAUAGGGCUAGGGGGCUUCACCGCCUACCAACCCCUGACGAACUCCGAAUGCCAUGACAUUGCACCAGCAGUGAGGCAGUGGGUGCUAAGGUCCAUUGCCAAGAGGGAAACAACCCAGACCAUCAGCUAAGGUCCCCAAGUGUAUACUAAGUUGAAUGAACGAUGUGAGGAUGCUAAGACAGCUAGGAUGUUGGCUUGGAAGCAGCCAUUCAUUUAAAGAGUGCGUAACAGCUCACUAGUCGAGCGUUCUUGCGCGGAAAAUACUCGGGCAUUAAGUAUACCACCGAAGCUAUGGGAUCGUAAGAUCGGUAGGGGAGCAUUGUAGUUGGGCAGAAGGUGUGCUGUGAGGCAUGC